GCGACGGGAGCGGGGCCGGGGAGGGGGCGUCUGGCGACGGGUGGCUGCCGGGGCACCGAGGGGCUCCGCGUUACAGCCCCGAACGCCCUUCACUGCUGGCGGAGUCCGGGGUGGACGAAGCCCGCGUCCCGGGGCCCGUGCCCGUCUUCGGGGCUGUCGCCGCUGUGGAGCAGAGCCUGCCUUUGAGUGACUCAGCAGGAUUCGGAGGCCGCGUGGGUGGGAUGGGCUCCAGAUGUGGCCCUUCUGUGCGGGAGCCGUAGGUGGGGCCCGUACGCUUGCAGACUGCACGAUCACACGGAAAAUGUUCUGAGAAUAAGUAACCCGGUGCAGUGGGGUUUGCCCCCAUCGAUUUCUGCCUUAGAUGGAGGAUCUGAAGCACAGAGAAAUUAAGUAACUUCCUAAAGGUUUUACGUGGCUGGUGUGUGGCAGACUUGGAUUCCAACCCUGGCUGUUGGUUCCUGCGUGUCAUAUCAUUUCUCAGGUUCUAACACAGUUUUGGUAAACAGAAUUAAGUGUAGACUGUGUGCCUCACACGGUUAGGUAUUGGGAAUAGAGAAACACGCUGCCCUCAAGAGUUCAGAGCAGUGUAAUAACAGAAAGGUAACCCAGUAAGCAAAAUGAUUACCAUUUCUUCAGAACGCACCUAAGUAGGAGGCUCUGUUCCAGUACUAGGUAAGUCACAAACUGAAAUGUACCUGUUCCUAAGUUUACUUAAAAUCGCCAUGCAGUUUCUCACUGAGCCCUUCCCAUUUCAGUCUUUUUCGUGCAUUCACCAAAAUAUUUAUGUUCAUCCCCCCCCAUUGUUUUCCUGUUCGCUGUGUGGUGUUAAAUGUUUUACCCCUACAGUAAUUUGUAAUCUGUUAGGAUAUCAAAUCUCAUGGUUCUCCCAGUUAGGUUUUAACCAGUGAUAAGCCUCCCAACCUGCUCCUUAGGUGCUCAGCGUGUGACCUAGUUCUAGUUGUGACGCAGGAGAAGAGCUCUGCACUCUGAGCUCAAAGAUUUGGUUCUAGUUCUGGGCAGAACCUGUAAUAUUGCUGUGCUAAAGUGUCCAGUUUACAGAAAAGAGGGUUAGAGUAAAUGAUUUCUGAAGCCUCUUCUAGCUGGACCACUGGUGUCAGUAAGCAGUCACACAUCCUGCCGGCUCACAGAACUCAGCUUCAGCAGCAAUACUUCUUAGCUGUCAUCCAAAAGAAUGGGUGUUCUUGUGCAAUUUCUUAGGAUCCUGAAAUUCUUUCAAUAGCGAGAGGGUAGUGAAAACCAGUAACAUAGCAGGAAACUGAUCGCCCUGUGGAACAUUAGCCACAUUUCACAGAUGAGCAGAACAGAACCGUACAGGCACCGCAUCUAGUCCAGGGCCCACUGGAAGUGAGUAGAGUCGGCAUUCGUGGCAUCCUCAGUGUUUUCUGGUGAACCAUGGGAGCUGCCCGGUCGUAGUUCCCUGGAGAUACAAUGUUAGGCUCUCUGUCUGUCCCUUGGAUUUUGUUAACCUGCUUCGUCCUGUCCCUCCUCAUUGUUGGGCUUCCACCGGUCUCUCCUUGGGGCUCUUCCUACUUUUAAAUUUCUGAUUCACAUAUCCUUCCUCUGGUUUUUAUUUUUUAAAUUUUCGUGUGAUCAUGUCCCUCUGGGGUUCCUGGUGCAGGGUUCUUUUUCCCCCAUAAAUAUAUAAAAAAAGUUUUGGCUAUUUUAAUCUGUUCCCUUUAAAACCUUCAAGCUCCUCCCUUUAAGGAGGCAGUCUUUAUAUUUAGAUAGCUCUUUAUAAUUUACAAAGUACUUCACAUAAUACCUUAUGAAUUUCUCAAGUUCAUUGUGUAAGAACCAUGACUGUAAAAAAUGCGUUGGAGAGUUUUCUUCCUUUUGCUCACUGGAAUGCUGAAGCUCAGGGAAGUUAAGUGACCUGUUGAAGAUCACACAGCUACUGGGGAUACUUGUCCAGUGUUUAUGUCUACCUCUUUAAUUUUUCUAUACUUCCAGAUCUUCUAUCUUAGAAAAUAUAAUGAUUAUGUUUUCUAAGCUAAAAAUCUAAAGCUGAUUAUUUCACAAUAGUUUUGAAAUAUUUAUAAUUUAAAUUAAAUUGUGUUAUAUAAUUCAUAUCUAUAAAUACUAAAUAUAUUUUUGUAAUAUAUAACAAAUUUAAUAUAUUGUUUCAAUUAACAUGUAAAAUGUUAAAUAUAUUUUAUAAGUUUACAUGCAUAAAAAGUCUUUAAUUUUUACGUAUCUUAAUUUUUUCUUUAUUACAGAACUAUAUGCUCUUUAUACAACUUGAAGUAUUAUAGAAAUAUUUAAUGUAGGCAUUGACAGCCCCUUAAAAUCCUAACAGAUAAUCAACAUUGAUACAUGGGUAUUGUAUGGCCAUCGUUUUACAUAGCUAUAGAUUUUAAGAUAUCUUAAAUAUCAUAAGAGCUGUUUUAAUACUUUCUUUCACUUAAUAAAAUGAUGCCUUGAACAAA